GGCCUGGUGGCGAAGAAGUAAACGCGUCGGUCUGCAAAACUGAUAUGCGAGGGUGCGAAUCCCUCCCAGGCCUCAA
rnacentral:tRNA from 1 species